GCGGCCAUAGCUCAAAGGCAGAGCACCUGGUUGUGGCCCAGGAGGUUGUGGGUUCGAGCCCCACUGGUCGCC
rfam:Ardenticatena maritima DNA, contig: NODE_34, strain: 110S.